rnacentral:rRNA from 1 species
UCGAGCGUAAGGUUCUAGCGAGCCCAACCUCCCACCCGUGUUUACUGUACCUUAGUUGCUUCGGCGGGCCCGCCAUUCAUGGCCGCCGGGGGCUCUCAGCCCCGGGCCCGCGCCCGCCGGAGACACCACGAACUCUGUCUGAUCUAGUGAAGUCUGAGUUGAUUGUAUCGCAAUCAGUUAAAACUUUCAACAAUGGAUCUCUUGGUUCCGGCAUCGAUGAAGAACGCAGCGAAAUGCGAUAACUAGUGUGAAUUGCAGAAUUCCGUGAAUCAUCGAGUCUUUGAACGCACAUUGCGCCCCCUGGUAUUCCGGGGGGCAUGCCUGUCCGAGCGUCAUUGCUGCCCAUCAAGCACGGCUUGUGUGUUGGGUCGUCGUCCCCUCUCCGGGGGGGACGGGCCCCAAAGGCAGCGGCGGCACCGCGUCCGAUCCUCGAGCGUAUGGGGCUUUGUCACCCGCUCUGUAGGCCCGGCCGGCGCUUGCCGAACGCAAAUCAAUCUUUUCCAGGUUGACCUCGGAUCAGGUAGGGAUACCCGCUGAACUUAAGCAUAUCA